rnacentral:other from 2 species
AUGGCCCUGCGUUGUUCGAGUAUACGCUGGCAAUCCCGAUCCGAUAUAUCCAUUCAGGGGGCUAGGGUGGGCUAGUUGAUGACAUGCCUUCAUUGGACGUCAGACGCUCGCCUCAAGUCUCCGCCGUUAACCUAACUGGGGAACGGGAAAUCCGGCUAGACGGCAAAGGCGGGGCCACC